CUUGAACCCAUGCUUGCCUCCACCAUGUUUGCCAAACUUUCCAUGCUUGAAUUUGCCAUGCUUUCCCCCCUUGAACUUGCCAUGCUGCUUGAAUUUUCCGUGGCCCAUGUGACCCAUGUGACUGCCACCAUGUGCAUAGCCGCCCUGUGGGUAUCCGCCCUGUGGGUAGCCGCCUGGUGGAUAAUGGCCGCCGUGAGCGCCAUGGGAGACAUGGUGAGCACCAUAAGCAGCGGCAGCAGCAGCUGCACCCCCAGCAAGCAUUGCUCCCAUACCACCAUGUCCAUGAGACCCUGGUGAUAACAACAGUAGAAAACUUAGCAGGUUCCAAGGAUUUUGGUGUAAAUCAUAGACAGCAGAAAAGAGUUUCAAACAGUUGCAUCAAUUAAUUAAGAAAAAAGUGCUUCAAAGAUCAGAUAAAUUUGAAAUACUUCAAGAGUGCAAAACCAUCACCAGAAGACAUCGACAGAUCUAAUUACCACCAUCAAGUUCAGUAAGUCUCAGUUAUGAAAUCUUUUUUACCAAAAUAAUCAGUUGUUGAGAGUUCCAAGGGAGCCUAAAAUCCACCAAUGAGACAAGCAAUAAACCACAAAUCACGACGACAAACCAACACAUUGGAUGAGUCUAUUCUUUUGUAUUAUUUUCAUUUAGUCCAUUUCAAGCCAAUGUGGAGAAGCCUUCAAAGUUGGAGUCUCCACAUUGAGUGUUUCUUUUAAGCCAAAGUUAGAGUCUCAACAUAUUGCAUACUUAGUUUUAAGUCAAAUACUCGAGUCACCAGCUACCUGUCAGAAUAAUGGGAUAUGUCUCCAAAUAUUCAAACAAUGGACCCUGAUACCACUUAAUGUAGUUUCUAGAGAUUCGCAAAAGCGAGUGACCUGCACUAAUGGGAUGAGCAACAAACCAAUAUUGACGACGUGACACUGACACCACAAUUUUACUAAAAACCUUAACAAAAUAAGGAUAUGUUCUGUUGAAUAAUCUUCAUUUAUCCUAUUCCUAACCAUUGGAUAAUUUAUUUUUACGACUUAGAGUUUAACUCCCACAAUUAGUAUGUGAGUACCAUUGUAUGUGAAUUGUGGUUUCACAGCUAAAUCAGUAUGGUAGAUUAUGUAGUACUAAAAGACAUUUUUAUUUCACUAUAGUUAAUUUAUAUGCUUCUAAGUAGGCAUCUUCACAAAAUUUUACAACUACAACAAAAAUCAGGAUUCAAUUAUACAAGUUUUCAAGUAAUUGUAUCUCUUGACACCGACACACAUGCUUGCAUUUAUACAUUUAUAACGUCCAUUUUUCAAAUUAUUAUUGGUGUCAGUGUCCAAUGCACGUGUGUGAGUGUUUCAUAGAUUGUAAUAAUUAGUAAAUACAAGGCAUAACAUAACAAUGAAAAACGAAUUUGAAAGGAAACACACCGGCAUGUUGACCCGCAUGUGCACCAGGAUAACCAGCAGGAGGGUACCCUUGUUGUGGAGGGUAUCCACUAGGAGGAUAACCUUGUUGUGGAGGAUACCCAGCAGGUGGAUAACCUUGUUGUGGAGGGUAUCCUUGCUGUGGAGGGUAUGCACCAGGUGGGUAACCAUGUCCUCCAUGUCCACCAUGUGCAGCAGCACCAGCUAUACCUUGAGCAAGAUGUGAAAACACCCCUUUGUCAGAAGAUUCAUCAUGUUUGUCCUUACCACCUCCCAUCUUUUAAACCAGACAAUAAAACACCUGAUCCAAAAAUUACAAAUUGUUACAGCAGAAUCAGAUCAUAAAAACAAAGAACCACAAACAUGGAAAUAUUGAAUCCCUAAUCAGAUCAUAAUUACAAAUCAAUGUUGACUAAACACAAUUAUAUGUGUCAGUGUCGUGUUGGAUAUCAGACACGCCUUCAAUCAAAUGUGUCUGACACUCACAAAAAAGCUAACAAUGAUGAUCUAUGGAAAUAAAGAAGCUAUGAAAUUGAUGAUAAUGAGUAAAGAAAACAAUAGGGAACUAACCUUUGAAUAAGAGAAAGAAAUUGAGAAAUUGGAAUGGAAGAAGAGAGAAAGAGGGAUCGUGUGAAUAUAUAUAUAUAGUAUAGUAUAGUAUAGUUGCGUAGCGUAAGACAAAAAGAGAGAAAGGAUCAGAACCAAAUACCGCGUUAAGCAUUCUUACUACGCGUCAUCAACGCGCCCAAUUGUCGUUGUCAUAGAGUGACACGUGGGAACCUUUAAUUGCACAAUGUAUUCUUCAUCUACUUCUUUUUUUGGUUAGAGGUCAAUUUUCUUGAUUCAUUCCAAUAUAAGGAUAUUUCUAUCAACAACUUGGAUAUUUUUUCAAUAAAGAAAAAGGUUAAUUAUUAAUAAUUUAAUGCAGUAAAAAUGAUUUGAAAUUUUUGUAAACUUUUAAAAAUGUAAAAAAUACUCUUUUUAUUAUAAAAUUAAAAAGAAAAUUGAAAUUUUUGUAAUUAAACUUUUAAAAGUGUAGAAAAUAUUAUUUUUCAGUGUAAAUUUUCUACUUUUGUUUUUCUUUACUGGUGCCCCAGAAGCUUUAGGUAGCAUCACGCUUCUAUAAAUUACGUACAAUUAUAUUUUUGUGUAUUUGUAAAAGUUUUGAUUGUGUAAUGUAUGCAAUAGUGCAUAUUUUGAUUCUCUUCUCUUCAUCAUUUUCCCACCUUCUUCAAUUUCUUUUUAUUUCUCUCUUGAUCUUUUUUCUCUCUCUUGGUGAAGUAGGGAGAAGAAGAGAAUAAGGGAAAUGUGAGAUUUCGAAUUCGCAAUAUCCUACGUGUUAAAAUAACUAAAAAUAUUUUUUUUAAUGAAAGCUUUCAAUUAUUUAUUCAAAAAUUAAAUAUUUAAUAUAAAAUUACAAGUUUUCAAACAAACUUACAAUCUUAAACUUUUUUUUAGAUAGUAAAUAAUCAAUUACCCCCGAAAUUGCAAUUUCGUCAAAACUCCCCCUAAAUUUUGCAAAACUUCCAAAACAUCCUUGAAAUUGUCAAACGUUAGUCAGCCAUCCAUCUUCAUUUAUUUUAACUAUUACAUCCUAUAACGUGGAUUGAAGGUUAUGCCACAUGUGGUAAUUGAUUUUUUUUUCUUCUUAUUUUUUGAGUAUAAAAUUUGUUUGAUUAUAUAAAUAGACAAAUAAUCCCCUCAAAUUUAGCACUUAUCUACAAAUACUUUCCUCAAAUUUUAAAUUUAUGUAACAAAUACUCCCCAAAAACUUAUGCGCAAAACAUCAGCAAUUAGAGAGGGUGGGAUACACCUUAGAACAGUUGAUAAGAGAAACAAAGAAAUGGGGUUUUAACUUUAUAAUAAUUGUUUAGAGACUAAAUAAGUUUAUACUAUUAUAUAUCAAACACAAUAUUAUUGUUCUGGUAAUAGUCAAUGUUCCACCCUUCUACUAGCUUGAUCUUGUGGCCCUUUGCUCUACCAACCAAUCAGGAUCAUUUUCAGUUGAAGCACGUGAAUCUAUAUGGAGUGCACCUGAGAAUAUAAGAAGAAAAAAAUCAAUAUAGAAUCCAUGUUACUUCCAAAUUAUAUAUGUUGAAUCAAUAGGCCCAUUUGAGAAAAUUAUGUUGCUUCCAAAUUUCUUCAACGUGGCAUGGAUAUUCUUCAAAACAUGAUUUCAAGUCACAUAAAUAACAGUUGAAAAGAGCAUAAUACCACAACAAGGGAAAUGGAAAAUAAGAUUCAACUGUAAAUAUUCUCUUACAUGCAUGCCCUCCAAAUUUUGUAGUAAUCCGUUUUGGCCUUGGCUUCACUCUGAAAUUAUUGAGGCAAUCUUCUUAGAAAGAAGAGUAAUUAUACUCGUAUGGUGGAAACAUGUUGGGCUUCUGGCUGCUAGACAUUGGCAUAAACAUUUCAAUACAUGACGACACCAUGGACAAGAAAAGAUGGAAUGAAUCAAAGAUUAAUACUAUUUGCCAUAAAUACUUAUCCAACAACAACUAAGAAAAAACAAAAUUUUAGUAUCGUAAACCUGCCAGUUCCAACCAUUCAGACCAUGAGGAUCAUCAUCAUC
rnacentral:lncRNA from 1 species